AACGAACGUUAGCGGCGCGCCUAACACAUGCAAGUCGAGCGAGAAAGGGCUUCGGCCCCGGUAAAGCGGCGCACGGGUGAGUAACACGUGGAUAACCUACCCCUUGGUGGUGGAUAACCUUCCGAAAGGAGGGCUAAUACAGCGUAAGACCACGACUUCGAAAGAGGUUGAGGUAAAAGUGGGCCUCUGUACACAAGCUCACGCCAGGGGAUGGGUCCGCGGCCCAUCAGCUAGUUGGUAGGGUAACGGCCUACCAAGGCGAAGACGGGUAGCUGGUCUGAGAGGAUGAUCAGCCACACUGGAACUGAGACACGGUCCAGACUCCUACGGAGGCAGCAGUGGGGAAUCUUGCGCAAUGGACGAAAGUCUGACGCAGCGACGCCGCGUGAGUGAUGAAGGCCUUC
rnacentral:rRNA from 1 species